rnacentral:rRNA from 1 species
AUGAACGCUGGCGGCGUGCCUAAUACCUGCAAGUCGAGCGAACAGACGAGGAGCUUGCUCCUCUGACGUUAGCGGCGGACGGGUGAGUAACACGUGGAUAACCUACCUAUAAGACUGGGAUAACUUCGGGAAACCGGAGCUAAUACCGGAUAAUAUAUUGAACCGCAUGGUUCAAUAGUGAAAGACGGUUUUGCUGUCACUUAUAGAUGGAUCCGCGCCGCAUUAGCUAGUUGGUAAGGUAACGGCUUACCAAGGCAACGAUGCGUAGCCGACCUGAGAGGGUGAUCGGCCACACUGGAACUGAGACACGGUCCAGACUCCUACGGGAGGCAGCAGUAGGGAAUCUUCCGCAAUGGGCGAAAGCCUGACGGAGCAACGCCGCGUGAGUGAUGAAGGUCUUCGGAUCGUAAAACUCUGUUAUUAGGGAAGAACAAAUGUGUAAGUAACUAUGCACGUCUUGACGGUACCUAAUCAGAAAGCCACGGCUAACUACGU